UCAAUAAGCGGAGGAAAAGAAACUAACAAGGAUUCCCCUAGUAACUGCGAGUGAAGCGGGAAAAGCUCAAAUUUAAAAUCUGGCAGUCUCUGGCUGUCCGAGUUGUAAUCUAGAGAAGUAAUGCCCGUGCUGGACCGUGUAUAAGUCUCCUGGGAUGGGGCGUCAUAGAGGGUGAGAAUCCCGUCUUUGACACGGACUACCAGUGCAUUGUGGUAUGCUCUCAAAGAGUCGAGUUGUUUGGGAAUGCAGCUCAAAAUGGGUGGUAAAUUCCAUCUAAAGCUAAAUAUUGGCGAGAGACCGAUAGCGAACAAGUACCGUGAGGGAAAGAUGAAAAGAACUUUGGAAAGAGAGUUAAACAGUACGUGAAAUUGCUGAAAGGGAAACGCUUGAAGUCAGUCGCGUUGGCCGGGAAUCAGCCUUGCUUUUUGCUUGGUGUACUUUCUGGUUGAUGGGUCAGCAUCAAUUUUGACCACUGGAAAAAGGCCUGGGGAAUGUGGCAGCUUCGGCUGUGUUAUAGCCUCUAGUCGCAUACAGUGGUUGGGAUUGAGGAACUCAGCACGCCGCAAGGCCGGGUUUCGACCACGUUCGUGCUUAGGAUGCUGGCAUAAUGGCUUUAAGCGACCCGUCUUGAAACACGGACCAAGGAGUCUAACAUGCCUGCGAGUAUUUGGGUGGAAAACUCAAGUGCGUAAUGAAAGUGAAAGUUGAGAUCCCUGUCGUGGGGAGCAUCGACGCCCGGACCAGAACUUUUGGGACGGAUCCGCGGUGGAGCAUGUAUGUUGGGACCCGAAAGAUGGUGAACUAUGCCUGAAUAGGGUGAAGCCAGAGGAAACUCUGGUGGAGGCUCGUAGCGAUUCUGACGUGCAAAUCGAUCGUCAAAUUUGGGUAUAGGGGCGAAAGACUAAUCGAACCAUCUAG
rnacentral:rRNA from 1 species